rnacentral:tRNA from 1 species
GCUUGGGUAGCUUAGUUGGUAGAGCACUUGCCCGCGACGCAAGACGGUCGCAGGUUCGAAUCCUGCCUCGGGCA